rnacentral:rRNA from 1 species
GUAGGUAACCUACCUUUAUGACUGGGAUAACCACGGGAAACCGGGGCUAAUACCGGAUAAGAUUUAGCUUCGCAUGAAGCAGAAGUAAAAGGCAGUUUCGGCUGUCACAUAAAGAUGGACCUGCGGCGCAUUAGCUAGUUGGAGAGGUAAGAGCUCCCCAAGGCGACGAUGCGUAGCCGACCUGAGAGGGUGAUCGGCCACACUGGGACUGAGACACGGCCCAGACUCCUACGGGAGGCAGCAGUAGGGAAUCUUCCGCAAUGGACGAAAGUCUGACGGAGCAACGCCGCGUGAGUGAAGAAGGUUUUCGGAUCGUAAAGCUCUGUUGUAAGGAAGAACACCAUGGAUAGGAAAUGAUCGAUGGAUGACGGUAC